AAGCAAAGAUACGCCGUGAACGGUGCCUCUUUUGUUGCGCCUGACACGCCGUUGAAGCUCGCCGAUUACUUCAAGAUCCCUGGCGUUUUCAACCUCGGAAGCAUCCCAACAAAUCCCCCUGGUGGGAACGGAGGUUACCUUACAACCUCUGUUAUGGCUGCUAACUUCAGAGAGUUCAUCGAGAUUGUUUUCCAGAACUGGGAAAACUCAGUCCAGUCUUGGCACAUCUCCGGUUACUCUUUCUUCGUCGUCGGGUAAGAAAGUCAAUUUUAUUAACGAUUCAGUUUUGUUUUGGUUCUGUUUAAAUGGGCGUUAGCGUUAAGAAUCUCUCAUUAAUUAUAUUAGUAUUUAAAUAGAAAGUUUCUCAAAAACUUAAAGAGAUUUAUCCGAGAAUAAAAACAAAGCAAAUAAAGCCAUUUUACGAUUUGGUUUACUUCCGGUUACAUUUAAUUGGUUUCGCUGUCUCAACCUUGUUUUCGGUUUAAGGCCCCCUUUCUUUAAAAAAAUAUGUAUAUUUGUACCAAAAAUUACGAAAAUAAUAUAUUUUUCAUCAGAAAUUUUAUCAAACUAUUAUUUGUAUCUUUAAAAAAAAUAUUUAUUAAAAUUUUAAAAUAAAUAUUAGUUUCAGUGGCUUAAAUUGUUUUUUUUUUUUCUAGAGCCAAUAAAACUAUUGAACCGACUCUGUUUGGGGUUUGUUCGGUUUUAGCAAACAAAUCUCAUUGCUUCCGUUGAAUUAGGUUUUGAGACGUCUAUUGGAAGCUGGAAGGAAUGUACCAUUCCCUGAUGGAGUUCUUAUCAAUGGCCGUGGCUGGGGAGGCAAUACCUUCACGGUUCAACCCGGUAAGACCUACCGAUUCAGAAUAUCAAACGUUGGGACCGCGACUACAUUAAACUUCAGGAUUCAAGGCCACACGAUGAAGCUCGUUGAAGUGGAAGGCUCCCACACUAUUCAAAACGUCUACACUUCACUCGACGUUCAUUUGGGACAGUCUUACUCUGUUCUUGUUACCGCUAACCAAGCGCCUCAAGACUAUUACAUUGUCGUCUCCUCGAGGUUCACGCGGAGAGUCCUCACCACGACUUCGAUUCUCCAUUACAGUAACUCGAGAAGAGGCGUCUCUGGUCCUGCUCCGUCUGGACCCACUUUGAACAUUGCCUCUUCGCUCUUCCAAGCUCGAACUAUCAAGUAAGAAACACGUUUCUUGGUGCACAAGUAACUGCUAUAGAUAAGGGAUUUGUUCCGGGUGUUCUUUUUUUCUGAUGAUGUGUGUUUGUUGUGAUAAACAGGAGGAAUCUAACCGCGAGUGGUCCGAGACCAAACCCGCAAGGCUCGUAUCAUUACGGUUUGAUCAAACCAGCCCGUACCAUCAUGCUCGCCAACUCAGCUCCUUGGAUUAAUGGCAAGCAAAGAUACGCCGUGAACGGUGCCUCUUUUGUUGCUCCUGACACGCCGUUGAAGCUCGCCGAUUACUUCAAGAUCCCUGGUGUUUUUAACCUCGGAAGCAUCCCAACAAAUCCCCCUGGUGGGAACGGAGGUUACCUUACAACAUCUGUUAUGGGUGCUAACUUCAGAGAGUUCAUCGAGAUUGUUUUCCAGAACUGGGAAAACUCAGUCCAGUCUUGGCACAUCUCCGGUU
rnacentral:lncRNA from 1 species